AACAGUAACAUCAAACUCAAGCAGAAGGAAACGAAGAUGUACAGCCUGGCCAUAGAGGAGGAUGUGCCUGUGAGGAAUCUGAAACCAGCUGUGGUGAAAGUGUAUGACUACUACCAGACAAGUGAUGAAGCUGUGAGUGAAUACAGCUCCCCGUGUGCAGAGUGACAGCCAAUCAAGCUGACUGGACUUGGGCUCAACCAAUUGCUUUCCUAUUUAGGAAGAGCUCCUAGAAUGGAGGGGUUCUAUUUGGUGCUUACACAUUGUCCAACUUGUAAUCCGUUUAACAUUAAGUGAACACAAUUUAAUAGAUGGGCCWUAAGGUUACCUCUGUAAUCCUGCUAUAAAGUGAUUGUCGUGUUUCUACGUUAAUAAAACAAUGCUAUGGAUUCAAACCAGA